CCUCCCUCAACCCACGUUGAAAACACUAUUUCUCUCCCCUAAAAUCUCUCCCACAUCUCUAACCACCUCUCCCCCUAAUUUAAUCACCAAAUUAGUUCAUUCUUCCUCAUAUUCACUCUCUGCAAUCAAGAAACCAGACGUCCUCUUUCAACUUCUAUUCAAGAAAUCGAGAACUAAGGAGAGGGAGUUCAUGUUCCGUCCAGUUGCAAAUAUGUAAAUUUAAGGUGAGACUUCGCAAGGGAAUCGAGAUACCAAAGGGAAGGAAGUGUAGAGAAUUAAUCAAUUGAGGUUGAGCGGCGACGAGGAUGUGGUGGUGUUGAGCAAGUGAAUUUAAGAUUUUAAUGUGUCGUUGAACCUUGAGUGUCGUUGUGUCUUCACACAUGACGUCACUCUCUCUCUUGGUCUUUUCCGUUGUGACUUUUCGUUUAUUCAUGUUUUAUUUGGGCCGACAACUUUAAUUGUUAGGAUAAUGGAUAUUUUGAGUUACUUGUUGGAUAAUAUCAAACUCAUGAUUAUUUAAUGGAAUAUUAAUUGUUGGUCCAA